rnacentral:rRNA from 1 species
AACGAACGCUGGCGGCAUGCCUAACACAUGCAAGUCGAACGAGACCUUCGGGUCUAGUGGCGCACGGGUGCGUAACGCGUGGGAACCUGCCUUUAGGUUCGGAAUAACUCAGAGAAAUUUGAGCUAAUACCGGAUAAUGUCUUCGGACCAAAGAUUUAUCGCCUUUAGAUGGGCCCGCGUUGGAUUAGCUAGUUGGUGGGUAAGGCCUACCAAGGCGACGAUCCAUAGCUGGUCUGAGAGGAUGAUCAGCCACACUGGGACUGAGACACGGCCCAGACUCCUACGGGAGGCAGCAGUGGGGAAUAUUGGACAAUGGGCGAAAGCCUGAUCCAGCAAUGCCGCGUGAGUGAUGAAGGCCUUAGGGUUGUAAGCUCUUUUACCCGAGAUGAU